rnacentral:rRNA from 1 species
CCCUUAGAUGUUCUGGGCCGCACGCGCGCUACACUGAUGCAUUCAACAAGUUUUACCUUGGCCGAGAGGCCUGGGAAAUCUUUCAAAUAUGUAUCGUGAUAGGGAUAGAUUAUUGAAAUUAUUAAUCUUGAACGAGGAAUUCCUAGUAAAUGCAGAUCAUCAUUCUGCGUUGAUUACGUCCCUGCCCUUUGUACACACCGCCCGUCGCACCUACCGAUUGAAUGAUCCGGUGAAGCCUCGGGAUUGUGCCCAGAGAACUUUAUUGUGAUUUGGGUGUGAGAACUUGUCUAAACCUUAUCAUUUAGAGGAAGGUGAAGUCGUAACA